AUACGGAGGGUGCAAGCGUUACUCGGAAUCACUGGGCGUAAAGCGCGCGCAGGCGGUCUUUUAAGUUGGAUGUGAAAGCCUACGGCUCAACCGUAGAACUGCAUCCAAAACUAUUAGACUAGAGUGUGGGAGAGGAAGAUGGAAUUAGUUGUGUAGGGGUAAAAUCCGUAGAGAUAACUAGGAAUACCAAAAGCGAAGGCAAUCUUCUGGAACACUACUGACGCUGAGGCGCGGAAGCGUGGGGAGCAAACAGGAUUAGAAACCCCAGUAGUCC
rnacentral:rRNA from 1 species